CUUUAGUCGUGGUUCAUAAGGAUAAAGAAGGAGUUGGUGGCGCCAAGCUCAAGAAGUUUCAGCUCAAAGUUCUCGGGAUGUUGUGUGUCUUGCUGCUAUGUCUUUUGUACGGAACAACAGCUUUCACGUCCAGAUAUGACUUUUACGACGAUUAUUAUCCUCAGCUGUUUGAAAACGACGCGAACUUGAACGCUGGCUUUGACCUUGAUGCUUUCAGAGAAAAACAACUUCGUUUUCACAACUAUUAUCGACAUCUGCAUGGAAUACCUCUAAUGUCGAUGGA